rnacentral:rRNA from 1 species
AGUGAACGCUGGCGGUAGGCCUAACACAUGCAAGUCGAACGGCAGCACAGUAAGAGCUUGCUCUUACGGGUGGCGAGUGGCGGACGGGUGAGGAAUACAUCGGAAUCUACUUUUUCGUGGGGGAUAACGUAGGGAAACUUACGCUAAUACCGCAUACGACCUACGGGUGAAAGCAGGGGAUCUUCGGACCUUGCGCGAUUGAAUGAGCCGAUGUCGGAUUAGCUAGUUGGCGGGGUAAAGGCCCACCAAGGCGACGAUCCGUAGCUGGUCUGAGAGGAUGAGCAGCCACACUGGAACUAAGACACGGUCCGGACUCCUACGGGAGGCAGCAGUGGGGAAUAUGGGACAAUGGGCGGAAGCCUGAUCCAGCCAUACCGCGUGGGUGAAGAAGGCCUUCGGGUUGUAAAGCCCUUUUGUUGGGAAAGAAAAGCAGCAGGUUAAUACCCCGCUGUUCUGACGGUACCCAAAGAAUAAGCACCGGCUAACUUCGUG